GCCGAGGUAGCCAAGUGGUCAACGGCGGUGGACUCAAGAUCCACUCUCGUAGGAGUUCACGAGUUCGAAUCUCGUCCUCGGCACCA
rnacentral:tRNA from 1 species